GAUGAAGAACGUAGCGAAAUGCGAUAAGUAAUGUGAAUUGCAGAAUUCAGUGAAUCAUCGAAUCUUUGAACGCACAUUGCGCCCGCCAGUAUUCUGGCGGGCAUGCCUGUCCGAGCGUCAUUUCAACCCUCGCGCCCAUCUGGGCUGCGGUGUUGGGGACCGGCCUGCCCCCCCGGGGCGCGCCGCCCCCCAAAUUCAGUGGCGGUCUCGCUGCAGCCUCCCUUGCGUAGUAGCACACCUCGCACCGGAGCGCAGCGCGGCCACGCCGUAAAACCCCCGACCCCCAUGAGUUUGACCUCGGAUCAGGUAGGAAUACCCGCUGAACUUAAGCAUAUCAUAAGCGGAGGA
rnacentral:misc_RNA from 1 species